rnacentral:sRNA from 2 species
UCUGUUCCUGUGGCUCUUUGUAGAGGUGGAGGAGACUGCAGGGGUGGAGGUGUAUGGAGAUACACCCCCUACUGAUCCGGGACCGGAGGAGCGAGUCCAGUCGCAACAAACUGCUGAGACGCACAGUCUCCGUGCCGGUGGAGGGGCG